CAAACUGCAACUCACUUUCUAAAAAUCCAGGAAAAUAAGGAGAUGAUGUGUUUCCUCCAAUCUCAUGGCCACAAAAGGGAGGACUUUCUUCAGGAGGACUGUGGCUUACCGAACGUAUUGAGUGGCGGGACCCUUCCAUAUUUACCAGAAAUGUCUGAGCCUCUUUCCUCUUCAUCUUCGAACGUCGCUGGCCAUGUUCUUAAAGGAAUGUACCAGUAGGUUCAUUAUUCCCAUCUCAUCCUCCGCAGCUGUUGCUGAGGAACAGCCAGAAAACAGACAGUAAAAGUCUUUUGAAUUUGUUAAAACUUGAGCUGCUGAUGAAAACACCCCCCGAGAGCCCAGAAUUGGACUAAUCGAAAUUAGAGAGGAAAAUACUCAAAAGAAGUUUUCAAACUCGGGCAUCUAACGCUAGGAGCCUUAAAUACGUGGCCUAGUUUUCAAAAGCACUGAGCACUCACAGCUCCCUGUGAAGCUAGUUCAAGUUGUGGGAGCUCAGAACCCUGAGCCAUUACAAUAUAGGUGUCUAAUUUUGAAAAUGUUGACCAUAGAUCUCUGGAGUCCAAACCGCUAAGUGCCGGUACAAGAUUAUUCCCUACCAUAUGAGUUGAAUUUUCAGAGAUGCUAAGCACCUGCAGUGGCAUGUAAA